CCUACGGGUGGCAGCAGUCGAGAAUCAUUCACAAUGGGGGAAACCCUGAUGGUGCGACGCCGCGUGGGGGAAUGCAGGUCUUCGGAUUGUAAACCCCUGUCAUGUGGGAGCAAAUUAAAAAGAUAGUACCACAAGAGGAAGAGACGGCUAACUCUGUGCCAGCAGCCGCGGUAAUACAGAGGUCUCAAGCGUUGUUCGGAAUCACUGGGCGUAAAGCGUGCGUAGGCUGUUUCGUAAGUCGUGUGUGAAAGGCGGGGGCUCAACCCGCGGACGGCACAUGAUACUGCGAGACUAGAGUAAUGGAGGGGGAGCCGGAAGUCUCGGUGUAGCAGUGAAAUGCGUAGAUAUCGAGAGGAACACUCGUGGCGAAGGCGGGUUCCUGGACAUUAACUGACGCUGAGGCACGAAGGCCAGGGGAGCGAAAGGGAUUAGAUACCCUAGUAGUU
rnacentral:rRNA from 1 species